AUGACCGAUGUCUGUGUGACG
rnacentral:miRNA from 1 species